UGCUUGGUGUUUUGUGGCUG
rnacentral:siRNA from 1 species